rnacentral:rRNA from 1 species
CCUACGGGGGGCAGCAGUGAGGAAUAUUGGUCAAUGGACGAGAGUCUGAACCAGCCAAGUAGCGUGAAGGAUGACUGCCCUAUGGGUUGUAAACUUCUUUUAUAUGGGAAUAAAAUGUUCCACGUGUGUGAUUUUGUAUGUACCAUAUGAAUAAGGAUCGGCUAACUCCGUGCCAGCAGCCGCGGUAAUACGGAGGAUUCGAGCGUUAUCCGGAUUUAUUGGGUUUAAAGGGAGCGUAGGUGGUUUGUUAAGUUAGUUGUGAAAGUUUGCGGCUCAACCGUAAAAAUGCAGUUGAAACUGGCGGUCUUGAGUAUAGUAGAGGUGAGCGGAAAUCGUGGUGUAGCGGUGAAAU